rnacentral:rRNA from 1 species
UACGUAGGGACCGAGCGUUGUCCGGAAUCAUUGGGCGUAAAGAGCGUGUAGGCGGCCUUUUAAGUCCUGCGUGAAAUCCUGCGGCUCAACCGCAGACGGUCGUGGGAAACUGGAAGGCUAGAGUGCGGGAGAGGAGAGUGGGAUUCCCGGUGUAGCGGUGAAAUGCGCAGAUAUCGGGAAGAACACCCGUGGCGAAGGCGGCUCUCUGGAACGCAACUGACGCUGAGACGCGAAAGCGUGGGGAGCAAACAGG